UACGUAGGGGGCAAGCGUUGCUCGGAAUCACUGGGCGUAAAGGGUGCGUAGGCGGGUCUUAAGUCAGGGGUGAAAUCCUGGAGCUCAACUCCAGAACUGCCUUCGAUACUGAGAGUCUCGAGUCCGGAAGAGGUGAGUGGAACUCCGAGUGUAGAGGUGAAAUUCGUAGAUAUUCGGAAGAACACCAGUGGCGAAGGCGGCUCACUGGUCCGGUACUGGACGCUGAUGUGCGAAAAGCGUGGGGAGCAAACAGGG
rnacentral:rRNA from 1 species